GUGGGGAAUUUUGGACAAUGGGCGCAAGCCUGAUCCAGCCAUGCCGCGUGCAGGAUGAAGGCCUUCGGGUUGUAAACUGCUUUUGUACGGAACGAAAAGACUCCUUCUAAUAAAGGGGGUCCAUGACGGUACCGUAAGAAUAAGCACCGGCUAACUACGUGCCAGCAGCCGCGGUAAUACGUAGGGUGCGAGCGUUAAUCGGAAUUACUGGGCGUAAAGCGUGCGCAGGCGGUUAUGUAAGACAGAUGUGAAAUCCCCGGGCUCAACCUGGGAACUGCAUUUGUGACUGCAUAGCUAGAGUACGGCAGAGGGGGAUGGAAUUCCGCGUGUAGCAGUGAAAUGUGUAGAUAUGCGGAGGAACACCGAUGGCGAAGGCAAUCCCCUGGGCCUGUACUGACGCUCAUGCACGAAAGCGUGGGGAGCAAACAGGAUUAGAUACCCGGGUAGUCC
rnacentral:rRNA from 1 species